rnacentral:rRNA from 1 species
CGUACACUCCUGCGGGAGGCAGCAGUGGGGAAUAUUGGACAAUGGGCGCAAGCCUGAUCCAGCCAUGCCGCGUGAGUGAUGAAGGCCCUAGGGUUGUAAAGCUCUUUCACCGGAGAAGAUAAUGACGGUAUCCGGAGAAGAAGCCCCGGCUAACUUCGUGCCAGCAGCCGCGGUAAUACGAAGGGGGCUAGCGUUGUUCGGAAUUACUGGGCGUAAAGCGCACGUAGGCGGAUCGAUCAGUCAGGGGUGAAAUCCCAGGGCUCAACCCUGGAACUGCCUUUGAUACUGUCGAUCUGGAGUAUGGAAGAGGUGAGUGGAAUUCCGAGUGUAGAGGUGAAAUUCGUAGAUAUUCGGAGGAACACCAGUGGCGAAGGCGGCUCACUGGUCCAUUACUGACGCUGAGGUGCGAAAGCGUGGGGAGCAAACAGGAUUAGAUACCCUUGUAGUCCC